AUGUCGGAGGUUUGGUCCUUACCUAACUUGGAUGCUAUUAGAAAUACAUGUAAGGAAUGGCUGCUUCAUGUCCUUGACCCAUUGCCAGAAAUCGAGAGGUGCAGGCUUCUUAUGACUUUGUGGAGAAGUUGGCAGAUCCGUAACGAAGUGAUACACCAUAAACCUGUGCCCCCAAUGGAAGCGUCCAGGAGGUAUUUGUCCUUAGUUACAUAUGACAGGCCACUUGAAAAUUCACAUGUUCAAAUAGUUGAGAGCACUCCUGUCAAAUGGUGUCCAUGGCGGGUUGGGUGA
rnacentral:rRNA from 1 species